UUCGGUCACAAUGUUCAUUCGAACGACCCGUUCAAUUUGAUUCGUUCGUUCGCGAACGACACAUCUCUAAUUCCAAUAUUUCCAAUGACUAAAUGAUCCACGGAGCAAGAAGUGCCACGUUUAGGGGUAUGUUUGUAAUGGGGUGCAGGGCGCGAAGCGCCCUGCUUUCACUAAAAACCCGACAUUACACGUACGCGUGUUGUUGACUAUAAAAAGUUAGGUUAUGUUGGAAAUGGAAACGCAUUGACCGAUUGGAAACGGCUUCCCAUUGAAGAGUGUACAAAUGGGAAAUUUAACAAUUUUUUGUGGCAAAAGUAAGCAUUUCCACAACAUUCGAAGGUGAGGAACGUGUUCAGGAGGUGCUGUAGAAGAGUUGUGUGCAAACAGUUUGUGCGAAAUCGUGAAGUGCCCUUUGUAAAAUUUUACCCUUUCCUCCAUGGCUUUACGCUCACUUUCAGUUUUAAAAAACACAGCUCAUCCAUUGAAAGUACGUAUGUAACCAAUGUUAGGUGCGUAAAAAAUACACCUGUCACACCUGGUUUUGUACUUUUGUAGAACAAGAAAUUCCAGAGUAGUUGGAAUGAAGUUAAUGAACAUAUUAGGUUUUCUUCUGCAUAACAUAAGAUGAUAUUAAAUUUAACUUCUUGUAUUCAGUCAAAACAUAAUUUGUUCUAUUUGAUUUGUGGUGUUUAUAUUUUUGUGUACUAUUUUACAACAAUAAUUAUUUUGAAACAAGUUAACAUUUACUUUUUAAGGUGAUGUUAUCGGUUUAGUUUUCAGUGAAUUUACAGUAGAUUUUGUUUCACAAAUACUAGACAACUAGUUGGAAUCUGACAACACCACCUAGAAACAAGGCCUGUGCGCAGAAACAAGAUGGCGGAAAUAGAAGGUUUGUUUACGUUUGGAAAAUUCGACGUCGAAGCCGCAUAAAAUGUUACUGCAAGAAAUAGAAAAGUAUUUAUUUAGAUUAUACGCUUCAAAUGACAUAAAAUUACCGGAUAAUUGGAGUUGCAGCAAAUAGUUCGGCAAAAUCUGAUGUUGUUAAUGUCUUUUACCUCUCUUCAAAGAGCAAAUGUAUCGUGUUUUUGACAGUUGUGCCCCAAAAAAAAGUCAGUAUCUGACAUGUUUUCAAAUGUCACAUUUCGAACAAAUUGUUUUUGAUUUAUUUCAGACAAAAAAAGUUCUUCGUUCGCUAAAAGUUUUUCCACGGUUUUGUAGGUGUAUGCACAAAUCGUCACAACAUCUUCUGUGGGAUAACAUAAACCACCUCUAUCGCUGACAUCAAUUAAGCUGUAGUCUAGGUUUUCAAAAGCGACGUAAGAAGCAUAGCCCGCAAUAAAUGUUAGAAUGGGCCAAGUAGAAUCUGGAAUUUCAUCUAAGUCGCUGUUGUUCACAAGAGCUUCAAAGAAAAAAGCAGAACUAUCAUAGCCUUUAAUAUCGUUAUCGUCAGCACUGGUACUAGAGUUGAGUACAUCUUGUGCAGAGAUUUGCAGCACUUGCCGAAGACUAAUUUGAUAGUGGCUUCCUGAAUAUUGUCUGUAUUUUCCAAACCGCUCCUCCAACUUAUCAGUUUGAAUUUUUCCACAAAGGAAGAAAUUAAAAUCUAGAUGAUGUAGACAAUAUUCUGAAAGUUUGAUCAGUCCAGACACAGAUUGAGAUAUGGCAUGAUGGGUUUCUUUUGUUAAUUUGCCAUCUUCAAACGUUUUCCAGUGAUCCAGCCACAAUGCCCAAACUGUCUGAGAGCUGUUACGAUCGAUUGGUUGAACACCUGAAGAACAAGUUUUACAUUUUGUCUCUCAAUCGUAGUGGGAAAAAGUGCCUUCAAGGACAGUGUAUAACCAUACUUGAGCAGAUUAUCUUUUUCUACCAGAUGUAAAGUUCUUACUGCCUCAAACCGUGCUUCCCUUUUUAUGGAAAAGUCAUCAAAAUCGGGAUAUACCAUUAUUUGGCCAUUUUUUUGGUUCAGCCAAUUGUUCCGGAUGUUUUUCAAAAUGUGCACUGUGUCAAUAAUGAAAAAAAGUGGUCGGUCAUUAUCUGCAGGGUGUUUAUAGCUCUCACAAAUUUGUGGUGGAUUUGAAAAGAAACUCAUUGCCUUCCUGUUUAUGGCGUUGUUAUCAGUGACCACAAAAACCAUGCAAAACUUCGGCCGUCAAUCUACACGCUGGUAAAAUAUGUGCAACAUCUUUAUAACUUGAUCGUAUUGCACUUAACAUGAAAACGUGAGCAGUAGUAGCACAAUCUGCGCUGUUGUAAGACUUCCCCACAACAGUACCACCUUUGUAGUCCAUAUAUGGUUUGAUAUGGAUUUCAUCCAAUAAUAUUGCAACAAUUUUGUCAUUUUCAUUUAGGAAUUGCUGUUUCAUUUUUAUAUAAUGAAGAAAGUGGGCAUUGUGCUGUUCUAAUUGUGGAUCUCCAGAAAAUUUUGAACAAACUCUUCUUAUUGUUGUUGAAGAUGGAAGUAUUAAAUUUCCUGAAUUUUGUAUAAACUUAUAACAAUGUGGCGAAAUUGAGUGUAUUAAACUAGAAAAUAAAACAGUUUCCCAUGAA